rnacentral:lncRNA from 8 species
CUCCUCCUGAAACAUCAACAUUAAACUCCAGACCCAAUGUCUCCACAACCCUACUAAACCUGUCUACAACAUGUAUGGCAUCUGGAGACAUAAGUAUUGAUCCUUCUCAGAGAACAGUUACACAAGUGGUCAUCAUGGUGUGUGUGAGUCCUGUGUUGGUGGUGGGACUCAUCCUGCUACUGAUCUACAAAUGGAGGAGAAACAGGAAAACAUCAACAUCCAAACACUCUACCAGACCGUUGGUGUCUGACUCCAUGACAACCAACCAGGAUCCAGACACAGGAACCAUCACUAACCCCACCUACGCCACAGCAACCAAUCAGAACCCAGAUACAACCCGUGACAUCACCACCACCUGAGCCACUGCAAUCAAUCCUUGUGCAGGUGACAUCUACUCCAAUAUGGUCCGUCUACAAA